rnacentral:misc_RNA from 1 species
CCAAACUUGGUCAUUUAGAGGAAGUAAAAGUCGUAACAAGGUUUCCGUAGGUGAACCUGCGGAAGGAUCAUUAUUGAUUGAUAAAGGAUGUGCUGGCAAAAAAAUUCCAUUUUUUGCAAUGUGCACUCCUGAAAUCUUCAUCCACUUUGUGCACUUUGUAGACAAAGUUGCCUUUUGUGACUUCUGUCUAUGCCUUUUUAGUACACAUUCAUCCGUUAUUAAAUAAUUUCUGACUGGCUAAAGUCAAAAUUUUGAUACAACUUUCAACAAUGGAUUUCUUGGUUCUCGCAUCGAUGAAGAACGCAGC